AUAACGACUCUCGGCAACGGAUAUCUCGGCUCUCGCAUCGAUGAAGAACGUAGCGAAAUGCGAUACUUGGUGUGAAUUGCAGAAUCCCGUGAACCAUCGAGUCUUUGAACGCAAGUUGCGCCCCAAGCCUUUUGGCCGAGGGCACGUCUGCCUGGGUGUCACG
rnacentral:rRNA from 1 species